rnacentral:misc_RNA from 1 species
AAAAAGUACGCUCAGCUAAGGUGGAAAACACUGGAUGCUGGUGCUGUAUUACAACCACUUGUAUACUUGUACCUGUUGCUUCCGUGGAGUUACGGGUGCUCACUCUGUUCGCAGUUGUGAGCCACCUUCCACGGGUGUAUUUUAAACUCUUGUUUAGUUGCAUGUUAUGUCUGAAUAGCUUUUGUAAUAAAGUUA